AAAAAAAUCCACACGUUAAGCUUAUGUGAAAAAACACGUAGAUUCCCAAAAUUGCUUUGUCAUCGGAGUUUACGUGAUCUUCUUAACAACCAUCGGAUCAUGAUUGAAUAUGAAAUGAAUCAUAUGUCAGCAAUAUUGCUGUUGUCACAUAUAUUUUAUGUGUCACGUACAUACUUGAAUUCAUUUUGUCAUGUUCAUUUGGUGCUCGCAAUAUGGCGACUAUUGAAAAACUUCGAUCAACAUAGGCCAAAUCCUUUUUGGCCCUUCUACGGUAUUUAUCACAAUGAUUUUAGGAUCUAAUAUUAGUACCGAGCAGAAGAAUAAUUUAUAAGCAAAUGUACCAUUGUUUCCAGCACAUCAAUCUUCUGAAAGUGGAUCAACAAAAUCACAUCCUGAACUAUUAGUUCCAGCUGAAUGCAUUCCUUAAAGGAAACAACGUUUGCUUCAGUUUAGCUGCUUAGAAGGGAUUUUCACCAGUGAUUCAACAGAAACAAAAUUUUAUGUCAUUUAAAAGUAAAAUUUUCAGAAUGUCUGCGUGCAAACAAAAUUUAUCGCAAUGUUUUGUCCAAUAGACUAUGUAAUUUAUUAGUUUCUAGUACCAACAUACACAAUUAGGAUUUAAUAUAGACUUUUAAGUAAAAUUCUGGUAAAAAGUAAGUUCAGAUGAAAUUAAUUUUACAGUACAACUUAAAUGAGCUUCGUAUAAAUUUCACAAAACCAUUAUAUAGAAUCAACGAAAAUAGUCACAUAGAUAUUACGUGAUACAAAGGUGAACUAAGAGUUCAUGAGUUCAUUCUGUGCUAUCUAUACAUCACAUAAUUAUUACAAGAAAAGUUCUAUGGAUAAAAAUCACAUACGUUUUCACGUAGCAUUAACGUGAAGAUUUUUCUGAGUGCACGAUGUAAAAUACACUGGUGGCAUCGGCGUCAAGCCAGGAACCUAAAUCAAGGAACCAAAAAUUAAUUUUUGUUCCUGAAUUUUAGUGCCUAAAGCGCCACUUAUGACUCAAAAAAUCAACCAACAGCGUCAAUUCAGGAAAAAAAAUCCAGGGACUAAAAUAUUUAAGAGAAAAAUAUCGAGUUCGAAUUCAACUUUUUAGUAAUAUAACUAGUAGUAUUUUUUAAUCUGAAUAAAUUUGUGCAUGUCACGGCACGUAUUGUGUCUUUAAAAGGACAGGCUGAUUUCAUCGGAUAUUUACUGUUACCAGACGAAUCAGAUGCACUUCGAAAAGCUGAUAAUCGGAAACUACUCCUUUUUUUGAGGAUUCAAGCUAAACUAGUCAUCCGUUCCGUAAGGGAGCACCUCCUGAUAUUUGCGGAGGAGACUUGGUAUCCAGAAACUAUGAAUGAAAAAUUUAAAUCCUCAUACUAGACAGACAGAGUAAUGAAACGUACCGAAGUUGAAUGAGCUGUCUUGUCAUCGAUUUCAAAUAACAGAACUUUCUAAAAACUGUCUGGAGCAAUCGUCGAAUAUCGAUUCAUACGAUUCACAACUAUUCUUUUGUAAAAACAAACUCCAUUAUAUGUCUAAAUUUGAUGCACGCUGUUGCAGAUUUGAUGUUUCCACAUGAUUUCUAUCAAACAUAAUCAGCAUGCGAUUAAUAGAAAAAUGUAAUGAAUAUUAAAAUUAUAUUGGCUAAAGUUUUAUCGACUUUUCGCAUAACUUGUAUA